rnacentral:misc_RNA from 1 species
GGUGAAUACAAACACAAUUUUCAUGACUAUCUAUUUACUGUGAUGCAUGACAUAUGUUAUGUAAACUGAUGUUACACCGUGCGUAAUGGCGUGUAAAUCAUUCAUCAUUUGCAUAAAAACAGAAUGACCUCAGUUGACCCAGUAAGCUAGAAUAAUCCAACGUGCUUCAGUUUAUAGUCACAGUCUCUACUUCUGACUUUCUCUUUCCUCUUCCGCCCUCCACACACCGAGUGUAUGAAAGAGCAGCUUAUCUUAUCUUUAAAAACCCGACAUUUUUAAACGAGAAAACGUUCAGAGCCAAGUCAUGAAAGCUCGUAGAAGUCCAUUUCUGGCCACAGUGUUGUUGAGCUUAAUGACUGUGAAGUUCUGUUCUCUUGGACUCACGAAUGCUUCAAUUUGUCAUGAUUUGGAAGUCAAUAUCUCUGAUUCAAGUUGUCAAGGACAGGUACAAUGUCCAGCCUGUGUAAAGAUAUCCUGGUUUGAAAGAAAACCCUACGUCUAUCGCCAGAAAAACAAAACCAUAGGCAUUUUACCAGAAGUGCUUGACCUGAUGUUAAGUAAAUGUUGUGGUAACCACACCCCUUCUUGCUGGCACUUACAUCAUUACGAACCCAUCAGUAACCCCAGCAGGCUCCUCUUCGAAGUAUCCAACGCACAUAUUGUCUACCCGGUCAUCGUGGAUUCCCAGGAUCCUCUGGAAAAUCCUGCUAACAUGAUUGGUUUAAUUCCUCCUUCGAGUAUUUCAUUCGUGGUACUCAAAGACAAGCGAGAAAGUUUUCCUAAGAAACUAUUGAUGUCUGUAUUUGAAGCAUGGCCUGUUCUUAUACUUACAUUGUUGUUGUCUAUCUUGGCUGGUAUCGUUCUAUGGUUGGCGGAGAUUAGAGCCAAUCCCGAGGAGUUUCCACGCACUUUCAUCGGAGGAGCAUGGGAAGGAUUCUGGUGGGCAUUCGUCUCCAUGACAACAGUUGGGUACGGUGAUCGGGCACCGCGUUCCUUCUUGGGUCGUGUGUUUGCCGUCAUGUGGAUUCUCCUUGGUAUAUGUAUUGUAUCAAUCUUUACUGCAACACUCACAACCUCGCUCACCACUAUCAGCUUAGAUACCAAGAGGAGUGUCACUGGUUCCAAGAUUGGUGUUCUACAACGAUCUAUCGAACUGUCUAUGGCAAUGCAACAACAGGCUGAUAUCACAGUUUAUUCGAGUAUUGAGGAGAUAAGAACUGCUUUGGACGAUAAACAGAUAAGUGGCGCCUUUUUGGACAAGUACUUCAUAAACUUCUAUGAAGAACUCUUUCCUCAAAACAUUUUUAAGGUCGAUCAAGUAAUAACCCAAAACAAAAUGCAGUACGGUGUUGUGGUGAACCAUACGGCGAUAGACAAGUGCUUCCGUAAACUACUGCAUCAAGAUCGAUUUAUAGUUUACAACUACAUUAAAAACGAGCUACACAGGACACUCAAGAUAGAGAAUAAUAAAGUGGCCAUACGCAACUCUCAGAGCAUUUUCGAUCCCACGGGUGAUUUAUUCUAUCCGUCGCUGUAUUCUUGUGUCACCCUGGUUAUCGUUAUCUUCCUCAUUGGUUUGGUGGCCGAGUUUGCUUACUUCAAGCCCAGCAGAUGUUUGCAAAAAAAGCAUACCUACGACCUUGAAGAUGGAAUGGCCAUGGAAGAUAUCAAGGACAGCGAAGUGAUUGAAUACAAAGAACUGGAAAACGAAAUGGUAGAAGAAAUGCGCGCAAUCUUCCAGAAAUACCGAGAAAAAAUGGCAGAAUCUUAUUCGACCAAAACAAACAAAUCUUGAUUAAAACUCCCCUUAAAACCGCUGUACAAGAUGACCAAUGCGCCUUCCAAGAAUGCCGCUGUACAAUAUGACCAAUGCGCCUUCCAAGAAUGCCGCUGUACAAGAUGACCAAUGCGCCUUCCAAGAAUGCCGCUGUACAAUAUGACCAGUGCGCCUUCCAAGAAUGCCGCUGUACAAGAUGACCUGUGCGCCUUCCAAGAAUGCCGCUGUACAAGAUGACCAGUGCGCCUUCCAAUAAUGCCGCUGUACAAGAUGACCUAUGCGCCUUCCAGGAAUGCCGCUGUACAAGAUGAUCUGGAUGUCUUUCAAAAAGACAUCUACAAAAUAACCACCAAUGAUUAUUUUGAAAACUAUAAAAUUCUAAUUUUAUUAAUAUUUUAUUUAGUAUUAUUACUUAUCGAGGAUUCGUAAGUGUAAUAGUUCAUGUUAGUAUCAGUCAACUGUCUAGUAGUAAAACAAUUUGUAGUGUCCUUUAAGGUGCGAUUACACGGAGUAAUUGUCUCUGCAACUUGUCUUAAAACGUUGCGACAUAAGUUGCAUGAGUAUUUUCACAGUGCAACAGAGACGCAAACAACUGCCGCAAUUUGUCUCGCAACAUUUUUUUUUCAAAUCCGUUGCCAGACAAGUUGCAGAGAAAAUUGCUCCAUGUUAUCGCGCCUUUUAAGAAAAUAAAAGUAUUUUUGGAUACGUAA